rnacentral:rRNA from 1 species
UCAAGUGAAUAAGUGCAUAUGGUGAAUGCCUUGGCGAUUACAGGCGAUGAAGGACGUGGUAGUCUGCGAAAUUUUUCGGGGAGCUGGCAAACAAGCUUUGAUCCGGAAGUGUCCGAAUGGGGAAACCCACCCGCAAGGGUAUCCAUCUCUGAAUUCAUAGGAGAUGUGAAGCAAACCGAGUGAACUGAAACAUCUUAGUAACUCGAGGAAAAGAAAUCAACCGAGAUUCCGGUAGUAGCGGCGAGCGAAACCGGAACAGCCUGUUAUUUUUAGCACACGCGUUAAUAGAACGGAAUGGAAAGUCCGGCCGUAGAGGGUGAUAGUCCCGUAUAUGAAAGCCCGUGUGUGGAACUAGGAUAACGAUAAGUAGGACGGGACACGUGAAAUCUUGUCUGAAUAUGGGGGGACCAUCCUCCAAGGCUAAAUACUCGUAAUCGACCGAUAGUGAACUAGUACCGUGAGGGAAAGGUGAAAAGAACCCCGGGAGGGGAGUGAAAUAGAUUCUGAAACCGUAUGCAUACAAACAGUAGGAGCCCUUCGGGGUGACUGCGUACCUUUUGUAUAAUGGGUCAGCGACUUACAUUCAGUAGCAAGCUUAACCGAUAGGGAAGGCGUAGCGAAAGCGAGUCCUAAUAGGGCGUCCUAGUUACUGGGUGUAGACCCGAAACCAAGUGAUCUAUCCAUGGCCAGGAUGAAGGUGCCGUAACAGGUACUGGAGGUCCGAACCCACAAAUGUUGAAAAAUUUGGGGAUGAGCUGUGGAUAGGGGUGAAAGGCUAAUCAAACUUGGAGAUAGCUGGUUCUCUCCGAAAACUAUUUAGGUAGUACCUCGUAUCUUACUCUCGGGGGUAGAGCACUGUUAUGGCUAGGGGGUCCUUAAGGACUUACCAAACCAUUGCAAACUCCGAAUACCGAGAAGUACAAUUACGGGAGACAGACAGCGGGUGCUAACGUCCGUUGUCGAGAGGGAAACAACCCAGACCGCCAGCUAAGGUCCCAAAUAUAUGCUAAGUGGUAAACGAAGUGAGAAGGCCCAGACAGCCAGGAGGUUGGCUUAGAAGCAGCCACCCUUUAAAGAAAGCGUAAUAGCUCACUGGUCAAGUUUUUCUGCGCCGUAAAUAUAACGGGGCUAAAGUGAAGCACCGAAGCUGGAAAUUCCUAAUUUAUUAGGAGUGGUAGGGGAGCGUUCCAACAACAGUGAAGCAGGCGCGUGAGCAACUGUGGAGUGGUUGGAAGUGAGAAUGUUGGCGUGAGUAGCGAUAAACUGGGUGAAAAACCCAGUCGCCGGAAGCCCAAGGUUUCCUGUCCAAGGAUCAUCCGGGCAGGGUUAGUCGGCCCCUAAGGUGUAGCCGAAAGGCGUAGCCGAUGGGAAUCUGGUUAAUAUUCCAGAACCAACUAUGAGGAGCAGUGGGAUGACGGAGCAGGGUAGGUCAGCCGGUCAUUGGAUUCCGGUCUAAGCGAGUAGGCAGUCUGUGUAGGAAAAAAACGCAUGGGCGACGUCGAGACGUGAUGGUGAAGGCACUUGUGCCGAAAUGAUUGAUCCCAAACUUCCAAGAAAAGUCCCGGGCUGUGUUGAAUCAUAGGUGACCGUACCGCAAACCGACUCAGGUGGGCAGGUGGAGAACACCAAGGCGCUCGAGAGAACCCUGGUUAAGGAACUAGGCAAAUUGACACUGUAACUUCGGGAUAAAGUGUGCCAUUGGUAUGUGAAGCGAUUUACUCGUGGAGCAGAAGAUGGUUGCAACAAAGCGGCGGUAGCGACUGUUUACUAAAAACACAGGACUCUGCGAAAGCGCAAGCUGACGUAUAGGGUCUGACGCCUGCCCGGUGCUGGAAGGUUAAAAGGAGCUGUCAACUUCGGUGAAGCAGUGAAUUGAAGCCCCAGUAAACGGCGGCCGUAACUAUAACGGUCCUAAGGUAGCGAAAUUCCUUGUCGGGUAAGUUCCGACCUGCACGAAUGGCGUAACGACUUCCGCGCUGUCUCGACCAGGGACUCGGCGAAAUCGACAUGGGGGUGAAGAUGCCCUCUACCCGCAGCCAGACGGAAAGACCCUGUGAACCUUUACUCUAGCUUGACAGUGGUAUUCGGAGCAGCUUGUGUAGGAUAGGUGGGAGACUGUGAAACCGGUGCGCUAGCGUCGGUGGAGUCAUCCUUGAAAUACCACCCUGGUUGUUUUGAAUGCCUAACCCCUUCGGGGAGACAUUGUCUGGUGGGGAGUUUGACUGGGGCGGUCGCCUCCUAAAGUGUAACGGAGGCGCACAAAGGUCCCCUCAGCCUGAUCGGAAACCAGGCGCAGAGUGCAAUGGCAUAAGGGGGCUUGACUGCAAGAUUGACAGAUCAAGCAGGUGGGAAACCAGGUCAUAGUGAUCCGGCGGUUCCGUAUGGAAGGGCCGUCGCUCAACGGAUAAAAGGUACUCCGGGGAUAACAGGCUUAUCGCGCCCAAGAGUUCAUAUCGACGGCGCGGUUUGGCACCUCGAUGUCGGCUCAUCGCAUCCUGGGGCUGGAGCAGGUCCCAAGGGUUUGGCUGUUCGCCAAUUAAAGCGGUACGCGAGCUGGGUUUAGAACGUCGUGAGACAGUUCGGUCCCUAUCUGCUGUGGGCGUAGGAGAGUUGAGAGGAGCUGACCUUAGUACGAGAGGACCGGGUUGGACGUACCGCUAGUGUUCCGGUUGUUGCGCCAGCAGCAUUGCCGGGUAGCCACGUACGGACAGGAUAACCGCUGAAAGCAUCUAAGCGGGAAGCCUCCCUCAAGAUGAGCUCUCCCUGAAGAACCCAAGAAGACUACUUGGUCGAUAGGCAGGACGUGUAAGCACAGCAAUGUGUUUAGCGAACCUGUACUAAUCGUUCGUUUGGCUGCCAG